UACGUAGGGACCGAGCGUUGUCCGGAAUCAUUGGGCGUAAAGAGCGUGUAGGCGGCCUUUUAAGUCCUGCGUGAAAUCCUGCGGCUCAACCGCAGACGGUCGUGGGAAACUGGAAGGCUAGAGUGCGGGAGAGGAGAGUGGAAUUCCCGGUGUAGCGGUGAAAUGCGCAGAUAUCGGGAAGAACACCCGUGGCGAAGGCGGCUCUCUAGUACGGUACUGACGCUGAGACGCGAAAGCGUGGGGAGCAAACAGG
rnacentral:rRNA from 1 species